rnacentral:misc_RNA from 1 species
GCAGCUUUCACCACGCCAAAUAUGUACUGAGAUGUAGCAGUUGAAUUUGAGUUUUGGAUGAAGCAAGAAAGAGGUAUAAGUAUAAAUAAUGAUAAAGAAUUGGAAAAAAAUCAGCGAUUCCUUUCCGUUACGUCGGAGAUAAGAAUCCUUCAACUCAAAAUGAAGAAGGAAUCCGAUUCUCUUUCAAUUUUCUUCCCGUCGACGACUCAGCGAUACAACUUUGCCGGUGCAUCCAAAU